AGAGUUUGAUCAUGGCUCAGAUUGAACGCUGGCGGCAUGCCUUACACAUGCAAGUCGAACGGCAGCGCGGGGCAACCUGGCGGCGAGUGGCGAACGGGUGAGUAAUAUAUCGGAACGUGCCCUGGAGUGGGGGAUAACGCAGCGAAAGUUGCGCUAAUACCGCAUACGAUCUAAGGAUGAAAGCAGGGGACCGCAAGGCCUUGUGCUCCUGGAGCGGCCGAUAUCUGAUUAGCUAGUUGGUGGGGUAAAGGCCUACCAAGGCAUCGAUCAGUAGCUGGUCUGAGAGGACGACCAGCCACACUGGAACUGAGACACGGUCCAGACUCCUACGGGAGGCAGCAGUGGGGAAUUUUGGACAAUGGGCGCAAGCCUGAUCCAGCAAUGCCGCGUGAGUGAAGAAGGCCUUCGGGUUGUAAAGCUCUUUUGUCAGGGAAGAAACGGUGAAGGCUAAUAUCCUUUGCUAAUGACGGUACCUGAAGAAUAAGCACCGGCUAACUACGUGCCAGCAGCCGCGGUAAUACGUAGGGUGCAAGCGUUAAUCGGAAUUACUGGGCGUAAAGCGUGCGCAGGCGGUUUUGUAAGUCUGUCGUGAAAUCCCCGGGCUCAACCUGGGAAUUGCGAUGGAGACUGCAAGGCUAGAAUCUGGCAGAGGGGGGUAGAAUUCCACGUAGCAGUGAAAUGCGUAGAGAUGUGGAGGAACACCGAUGGCGAAGGCAGCCCCCUGGGUCAAGAUUGACGCUCAUGCACGAAAGCGUGGGGAGCAAACAGGAUUAGAUACCCUAGUAGUCC
rnacentral:rRNA from 1 species